rfam:Ixodes scapularis strain Wikel colony gcontig_1108379239376, whole genome shotgun sequence.
GCCUCGGCGGCUCCGAGGCGAGAGCGUCGGACUACAGAGCCCCAUGUGGCGGGUUCGAAUCCCGACCGAGGUG